rnacentral:misc_RNA from 1 species
GAUGAAGAACGCAGCGAAAUGCGAUACUUGGUGUGAAUUGCAGAAUCCCGUGAACCAUCGAGUUUUUGAACGCAAGUUGCGCCCGAAGCCGUUAGGCCGAGGGCACGCCUGCCUGGGCGUCACAUAUCGUUGCCUGAUGCCAGUUUCCUCGUGAUGGGUGACUGUGCAGGGCGAAUGAUGGCUUCCCGUGAGCAUUGUUGCCUCAUGGUUGGUUGAAAAUUGAGUCCUUGGUAGGGAGCGCCGUGAUAGAUGGUGGUUGAGUGACGAACGAGACCCAAUCAUGUGAGACCCCUACCGAAUUUGGCCUUCAUGACCCACAUGCGUCUUUGGAACGCUCAUGACGAGACCUCAGGUCAGGCGGGGCUACCCGCUGAGUUUAAGCAUAUCAAUAAGCGGAGGA